AUUGAACGCUGGCGGCAGGCCUAACACAUGCAAGUCGAACGAGUGUCAGACGGGUGAGUAAUGUCUGGGCAACUGCCUGAUGGAUGGGGAUAACUACUGGAAACGGUAGCUAAUACCGCAUACCAUCGGAUGUUCCCAGCUGGGAUUAGCGAGUAGGUGGGGUAAGGGCUCACCUAGGCGACGAUCCCUAGCUGGUCUGAGAGGAUGACCAGCAACACGGGAACGUAGACAAGGUCCAGACUCCUAGGGGAGGCAGCAGGGGGGAAUAUUGCAAAAUGGGCGAAAGCCGGAUGCAGCCAGGCCGCGUGUAUGAAGAAGUCCUUCGGGUUGUAAAGUACUUUCAGCGGGGAGGCGUUAUCCGCAGAAGAAGCACCGGCUAACUCCGUGCCAGCAGCCGCGGUAAUAC
rnacentral:rRNA from 1 species